CAUUGUCUAGCUUGCUAGACAGAUGGCGAGUGGCGAACGGGUGAGUAACGCGUAGGAAUAUGCCUUGAAGAGGGGGACAACUUGGGGAAACUCAAGCUAAUACCGCAUAAUGUCUGAGGACGAAAGCUGGGGACCUUCGGGCCUGGCGCUUUAAGAUUAGCCUGCGUCCGAUUAGCUAGUUGGUGGGGUAAGGGCCUACCAAGGCGACGAUCGGUAGCUGGUCUGAGAGGAUGACCAGCCACACUGGAACUGAGACACGGUCCAGACUCCUACGGGAGGCAGCAGUGGGGAAUAUUGGACAAUGGGGGCAACCCUGAUCCAGCAAUGCCGCGUGUGUGAAGAAGGCCUGAGGGUUGUAAAGCACUUUCAGUGGGGAGGAGGGUUGAUAGGUUAAGAGCUGAUUAACUGGACGUUACCCACAGAAGAAGCACCGGCUAACUCCGUGCCAGCAGCCGCGGUAAUACGGAGGGUGCGAGCGUUAAUCGGAAUUACUGGGCGUAAAGGGUGCGU
rnacentral:rRNA from 1 species